CAGUAGCCGCGGUAAUACGAAGGGGGCUAGCGUUAUUCGGAAUUACUGGGCGUAAAGCGCACGUAGGCGGAUCGAUCAGUCAGGGGUGAAAUCCCAGGGCUCAACCCUGGAACUGCCUUUGAUACUGUCGAUCUGGAGUAUGGAAGAGGUGAGUGGAAUUCCGAGUGUAGAGGUGAAAUUCGUAGAUAUUCGGAGGAACACCAGUGGCGAAGGCGGCUCACUGGUCCAUUACUGACGCUGAGGUGCGAAAGCGUGGGGAGCAAACAGGAUUAGAUACCCCCGUAGUCCCUGUCUCUUAUAC
rnacentral:rRNA from 1 species